CACGUAGGGCGCAAGCGUUGUCCGGAAUUAUUGGGCGUAAAGAGCUCGUAGGCGGUCUGUUACGUCCGCUGUGAAAACCCGGGGCUUAACCCCUGGCUUGCAGUGGAUACGGACAGACUAGAGGUAGGUAGGGGAGAAUGGAAUUCCCGGUGUAGCGGUGAAAUGCGCAGAUAUCGGGAGGAACACCGGUGGCGAAGGCGGGUCUCUGGGCCGAUACUGACGCUGAGGAGCGAAAGCGUGGGGAGCGAACAGG
rnacentral:rRNA from 1 species